rnacentral:rRNA from 1 species
GAUGAACGCUGGCGGCGUGCCUAAUACAUGCAAGUCGAACGCACAGCGAAAGGUGCUUGCACCUUUCAAGUGAGUGGCGAACGGGUGAGUAACACGUGGAUAACCUACCUCAAGGUUGGGGAUAACAUUUGGAAACAGAUGCUAAUACCGAAUAAAACUUAGUAUCGCAUGAUACCAGGUUAAAAGGCGCUACGGCGUCACCUAGAGAUGGAUCCGCGGUGCAUUAGUUAGUUGGUGGGGUAAAGGCUUACCAAGACAAUGAUGCAUAGCCGAGUUGAGAGACUGAUCGGCCACAUUGGGACUGAGACACGGCCCAAACUCCUACGGGAGGCUGCAGUAGGGAAUCUUCCACAAUGGGCGAAAG